rnacentral:tRNA from 1 species
GGGCGAAUAGCUCAGGGGGAGAGCACCUGCCUUACAAGCAGGGAGCCGUAGGUUCAAAUCCUACUUCGCCCACCA